rnacentral:lncRNA from 1 species
GAAUUGCCUUUUUUGGUCUUCCAGGGUACCCAUUUUAUAAAUUACUGUUGAAAAUGGAGUUGAUCUUGUCUUAUAUCUAAUUUUCUUACAUAAGAUAAUUAUUCACUGCUCUUUCUUCUAGACAUGUUCCCAGGCACUUGGCAAUCUUAUGAGUUUCUAACCUGGAGCUGUCUCUCCCUGACUCUGAUAGUUCAUUGGGAAUCAAUGGAGUAUUUUCCCCUUUGCUAGAGCACGGAUUUCCAGAAAAUGAAACCAUUGGUAUGCUAAAGAAGAGUUCCCACAUUCCAGAAGCAGUGAGGACUAUUCCUCUUUCCUAUAGGGAAUGAAGCCCACGAUGCCUUCACCUGUGCUUCCAAGCAGAAGGUGCUGCCUGGGGACUGUGCUGUGGCUCUGAUGUUGGGGGACUCUGCACUGAGGGACAGAAAGUGGGAUCCAUCUCUGCUGGGCAGCAUAACAUUAAAUGUUUAUUCUGGAUCCAUCAGAAUUAAAACUUGCACAGAUCUGUCUGGCUUGACCUCAUCUCACAUGGAAGAGCUCCACGUGGGCUGAACUUUAGUCUGUUUGUGACAAAACUGACAUUUCAUGGACAGUUCUCAGCUGUCUCCAUGGCACACUUGUCUGUUAUG